CCUACGGGUGGCAGCAGUAGGGAAUAUUGCUCAAUGGGGGAAACCCUGAAGCAGCAACGCCGCGUGGAGGAUUAAGGUUCUACGAUUUGAAAACCCCUUUGUUAGAGAAGCUAAUGACGGUAUCUAACGAAUAAGCACCGGCUAACGCCGUGCCAGCAGCCGCGGUAAUACGGAGGGUGCAAGCGGUACUCGGAAUCACUGGGCGUAAAGGGCGCGUAGGCGGGGUAGCAAGGCAGAUGUGAAAUCCUAUGGCUUAAACAUAGAACUGCAUUUGAAACUGUUAGUCUAGAGUAUGGGAGAGGUAGGUGGAAUUCUUGGUGUAGGGGUGAAAU
rnacentral:rRNA from 1 species